CGCCGUAUAUUUAAUCGAUUCUUCAUCCAUAACUAACUGAUGAAAUCCGCUUUUGAGGUCUAGUAACGUAAAGUAUUGUUUAUGUCCCAAAUGUUCUAGGCAGGUGUCUAUAAGAGGCAAUGGAAAAUUAUCACGAACUGUUACUUUAUUUAAUGGUCUGUAAUCAACACAUUUUCUAACUUCACCAUUUUUCUUUCGAACCAGGACUAAGGCAGACGCGUAUGGUGAGUUACUUGGGCGUAUGAUAUUUUUUUCUAGCAGGUCCUUUACUAUUACUUUUACCUUUUCUCUUUCAGUAAAUGACAACCGUCUUGGUUUGGUAGAAAUAGGAGUGUCAUCUUCACUUUGGUAUUUUGUAAGGUUUUUACCAAUAUCAAUGGGAUUUGUUUGAUCAACAACAUCUAUCAUACACAAAGAAGAAAAUGUAUCGGUAAACACAUCGAUCGACUCAUGAGCUAAAGCAGAAAAUGAGCAAUCUCCCUCCCGACGUGCGACUGACCUCUUUACAAUGUCAAGUGAAUGGAGCUUUUGAUAUAAAUUCGUUUUUAUUAAAGGCAGCUUUUUCAUAUUAUUCAUGUUCAAUAAAGUGUUUAUAGUGUACGUAUUUUGUA